rnacentral:lncRNA from 1 species
UCAUGCGGGUGCCUCCUUUGUGUGGCCGCCCAAGAUCCCAUCUCCCAAGUCUCCAUGCCUCCUUUUCUUUACUAGUUGGAGGCUUGAAGAAGGAUGUUUUCAGAUCUAGAAUGGAGGGUUUUAGAUCUGGUAUCGACAGGGUUCAGAGAGAGGAAGAACAAGGUGAAGACAUGUAGAGGUUGUAGGAUCUCUCUCUUGUAUGGUAUAGCUCUAGUUGUUGGACACCCCAAUACACUAAUUUUUAGGAGGAUGAUUAGGUGAUCUCA